rnacentral:rRNA from 1 species
UGGCUCAGAACGAACGCUGGCGGCAUGCCUAAUACAUGCAAGUCGAGCGGACUUGAAGAGAAGCUUGCUUCUCUGAUGGUUAGCGGCGGACGGGUGAGUAACACGUAGGCAACCUGCCCUCAAGCUUGGGACAACUACCGGAAACGGUAGCUAAUACCGAAUACUUGCUUUCUUCGCCUGAAGGGAGCUGGAAAGACGGAGCAAUCUGUCACUUGAGGAUGGGCCUGCGGCGCAUUAGCUAGCUGGUGAGGUAACGGCUCACCAAGGCGACGAUGCGUAGCCGACCUGAGAGGGUGAUCGGCUGCACUGGGACUGAGACACGGCCCAGACUCCUACGGGAGGCAGCAGU